rnacentral:rRNA from 1 species
AGAUCCCUACGGGGCGCAGCAGUGGGGGAUAUCGCACAAUGGGGGAAACCCUGAUGCAGCGACGCCGCGUGUGGGAAGACGGUCCUCUGGAUUGUAAACCACUGUCCCCAGGGACGAAGAUGACGGUACCUGGGGAGGAAGCUCCGGCUAACUACGUGCCAGCAGCCGCGGUAAUACGUAGGGAGCAAGCGUUGUCCGGAAUUACUGGGUGUAAAGGGAGCGAAGGCGGGAUGGCAAGUUGG